UUUCUCAUUCAAUUUGAGGGUAGCUCCAUUUUGUUUAUAAUCAUAAUGCUUUCUUAAUCAACCUGGACUUGCUUUCUUUAAGUAUUCCCCUUCCCUUCUGGCCUUGGUGUGCCUUCGAGUCUCAAACAGGAAGACAAACUCUAAGGAUGUGAGAUAAAAGGAAUAGCUUCUUCUCUGUACGUGCUGAAGUACGUUUAAAAAAUGUUUGAACAAGUCCUCAAAAUCUGAGCCAAAAAGAAAGAAAGAAAAGGAAAAUGAUACAGAACAAAAGAGUAGAAGUUUGUUACACACACGCAAAUGCACAUACUUGUAUCUUUGGAGGUUCUUGGUUCUCUGGUUACCUUCUUACCCUGAAAAUUAUGUUGGCAUGUUUUCUUCUGAAAGCCACAUCACAUCACAGAUCUGAUACUUGUAAUGUCAAAUAUUAGCUUUAAUAUAUAAGACACUGUAUGCCUUUUAAACAGAAACAGUUUAUAGUCAUACUAAGAGAAAUUUCUAAAUUUCCUUCUUAAUUUUACAGAUAUUAUAAUAGAAACACUAGUGAUUGAAUCAAUACAGUUGAUUGCAACUGAGAGUUGUUUUCUGUGUAAAGUCCUUAGCCAUAUCUACUCUGGAUCUGACAGCAAAAACAGUAGAUAAUUACUCAGACUCUGGAUCGAGACUGCCUGGUUUCAAAUCCUGGCUCUGCCCCUGGAAGCUACAUGGCCUUGAGCAAAUUGCUCAACUUCUCUACCUCAAUUUUUCAUCUGUAGAAUGGCCAAACUAACAGUACCUAUUUCAAAGGGUGGUUGUGAGAAUUAAAUGACUUGAAAGAUGUUUAAAAUUGCUCCUGGUACAUAGAAAUCGUCAAUAAAUGUUAACUAUUAUCAUCAGUCAAUCACCUCUGCAGUGCUUGGGAGCUCAAACUGGACAUUGUUUUUUGGGAGGAAAUUGAUGGCUGCAUAUUACUGUAUAUUCCACUAGUUGCUGUUAUUAGAGGAAACAUUUAAAGGCUAUUGACCAAGGAGGGAGUUAGCCUUGUGUAGUUGGAUCCUGCCAGUUGUAGCCAUCCCAGACCUGGCUGCCCACUUCCCUGACUCGCCUGGCCUUCUUUCACUUUUGCAAAUCUGCUCCCUCAUUUUUAACUUGGGGUUUUAAUCAUUUACAUUGAUUAGCCGUUUGGCACCUCCUCUUUCUGUCUGCUUUGUCUGUCUCUCAAAACGAUGAUUUCCAGCUUGCUCUGACCCUGGUAUUUAGCUCCUAAGAUGUCCUCAACACCUCCGUGUGCAUCAUCCUUCAAUGCCUAUUUUGUCUCAUUCAGCCUUGCCUCCUCUUUUUCCAGCUCCCUGCUCCAGGGCUUAUGGCAGAAAGAGGCCUUAGAAAGCAUUGGUUUGGUAGCUUAAUAUUCAAACCCUAGGAAAGGCACUCCUUGGUUUCAUAGAAGCUACAGAAUGUAGCAGUGAUCCACACAUUUUAGGGUACACCAGAAUUAUUUGGGGUGUGUUUAAAAUGCAGAUUUCUGAACCUUUUUCCCAGAGAUUCUGAUUAAGUCUUUGAUGGGGCUGAUGAAUUGGCAUUUUAAUCCACAUGCUAGGUGCUUCUGAAGCAGACUAGUCUAAGAAGCUUAAUUUGAGAGACACUUGACUAAAUUUCUGUCCUUGAAUAUAUAGUCUGCUAUAUUGGCCUUUUCUACAAACUCCUUUCUUGCUUUCUGGAAAACACUGGGCACCGGGCCCACAAUUAUGCCUAAAAAUAAAUAUAUAGUGAAAAGGAAGAGGGUGCAGAGAUAGCAUUUUCCCCAGGGUUAGAAUUUUUUCAUGCCUCCCAAUUCUUACAGCAAUAAGUUAGUUGGCCAGUAAUAUACUUUUAUCCAUAUCUUACCUUUCAGAAGACAGAAAAGAACCCAUACUUUUCCCAAACUACACUUCCAUAUUAUUCUUAAAGAAUUAUCUAUUUACCCCUUUAGCAUUUCAGAUAUUUUCAGAAUGAUCACUUACCCCUUUAGAAGAAUAUGCAGCCAGAAGAUUUGGGAGAAAACUGAAAUGAAUUCUCUGAGCUAUGAUUCUUGAGUCAAUUCUUCACUCCAAUUUCCGCACCCCCUCUUUUAGGCAUCUUCAUACCCACAUGCCUGAAUUUGAGCCUUAUGUCACUACCACUAACCUCAAGCCAGAGGCCAAGAGAGAAGAAUAGAGCUUUCUUCACCGAGCAAGGCUGAGUAAUGCCAUAGUCUCACCUUCCCUGGGGCUCAGUGUGCCACUGUAGCCCAGCCAACUCUGGUCUUUUCUGGGAGUCGUCCAGCCCCAGCCUCCUGCUUACAUGACCUGAGUGCGCUAUCCUUGCCAGACUUUGAAACUUCUAUCCAUGAAGCAUUUAAACUACACAGGCAAUGCCGAAACCCAUUCUUCCUUCCUGGCUUCUCUGGUUUGCUUUUGACUGUGUGGAUCACAACAAACUGUGGAAAAUUCUUAAAGAGAUGGGAAUACCAUCUACUUCUACUUUUGGUUUACGACUAUGCCAAAGCCUUUGACUGUGUAAUCACAACAAACUCUGGAAAAUUCUUCAGUAGAUGGGAAUACCAGACCACCUGACCUGCCUCCUGAGAAAUCUGUAUGCAGGUCAAGAAGUAACAGAACUUGACAUGGAACAACAGACUGGUUCCAAAUCGGGAAAGG
ensembl:lncRNA